rnacentral:tRNA from 1 species
UUUUUCGUGGUGUAGUUGGUCAUGAUACCAGUCUAACACACUCGUGGUCCCUGGUUCGAGCCCAGGCGAAUUUG